rnacentral:tRNA from 1 species
CGAAGGUGGCGGAAUUGGUAGACGCGCUAGCUUCAGGUGUUAGUGUUCUUACGGACGUGGGGGUUCAAGUCCCCCCCCUCGCACCAA